UACGUAGGGCGCAAGCGUUGUCCGGAAUUAUUGGGCGUAAAGAGCUCGUAGGCGGCUUGUCACGUCGGGUGUGAAAGCCCGGGGCUUAACCCCGGGUCUGCAUUCGAUACGGGCUAGCUAGAGUGUGGUAGGGGAGAUCGGAAUUCCUGGUGUAGCGGUGAAAUGCGCAGAUAUCAGGAGGAACACCGGUGGCGAAGGCGGGUCUCUGGGCCGAUACUGACGCUGAGGAGCGAAAGCGUGGGGAGCAAACAGG
rnacentral:rRNA from 1 species